CCGGAAGCUAUUAGCCGACUUCCUGCACUCUGCUAAAGACAUUGAAACCAGCAGAGGUGCUAACCACAUAUUGUGUGUAUGUGCAUUCCCAUCACUCAUUGCAGGUCAGGUUUUCUUCCCGGGAAGGAAGACCCGGUGCCCCAAACAACCUGAGCUGCCGAACCACCUUCAAACUCAACUCAACAAAAUGGCGAGCUAAACAACUAUGUGGAAGACCCCCUGAAGGAGGCCAGGCACCCUCUUGACCACUGUGUCCAACAACGCUGCACAGCGCCUGAGCUGCGGAGCAGGAGACCGGCCUUGUGUGGCAGGCUAAAGCAAAAACAGUCAAGGAAAUGUUCAAACAAUCCCCCUUUAAGUUAAAUAACUUAAAGUCUAAGUGGUACCUUAGUAGGACACAGAGCAAGAUACUCCUUGGCAAUCUCCAGCAGGAAGUCAGGGUUGAACUUCUGAAAGUACUCCACACUCAGAGGAAGCCUUCCAUCAACUGACACCAAAUGAUGCCUGUGCAGUGAAAGAAAGAACUAUUCAUUUUCAAGGCACUUGAUCCAUGCUGCAGUGCUUCAUCAUCAACUUUUUCUGCUCACCAGUCAAUGCAGAGAGACUGGUCUCGUCCAGAGCCAUGGCAGUCUUGUACCACCCCAUAGCCUCCUUGAUUUUACCCUGAAGAACCAUGAGGUACCCCAAUUCUGUGGCAAUGUCAGAGUUUCCUGAUGUCACAACGAAGGCUUUCUCCACCAUUCUGAACACCUGCUCGAGGACUUUCUCGUCACGGCCACACUGGAAGGAAUCAACAAAUGUUUACAAAUUGUGACAAAAACGCACAAUGAAUUGUCUUACCACUCUGCUAAAUGGGAUACACAUCCUGUAAGCAAGCUCAGGGUUGUGUGGUUCCAGGUCCUCCAGACUGCUGAUGAAUUUGGAAAGAUUCUUUACUGACUGCCAUGUGGGAUACAGCAAGAAGGAGUUUGAAGAAUAGCAGCAUUUAACCUUCAAAUGGGAUUUUCUGCCAGUUUGUUACUUUAUACGGCUCAAGUUUGUUUAUGUACCUCUGUAAUAUCUCCAGUGAUACAUAAAGAAUACAGAGUCAUCAUGUGUAGGGCAUCCAGGUUGGUUUUAUCCAUCUGUAAAAUGCUGCAAGGAGAUAAGUGGGUUGCUUUCAAUUACAAGCCACCUGCCAAAAUGUAUCAGCUCAUUUUGGUAAAGUGGCUCGUAGUCACUUUACCAUAGGGUUAGGGUUACAGUAUUUACCUGAUUGCUGCUCGUAGUCACUUUACCAUAGGGUCAGGGUUACAGUAUUUACCUGAUUGCUGCUCGUAGUCACUUUACCAUAGGGUUAGGGUUACAGUAUUUACCUGAUUGCUGCUCGUAGUCACUUUACCAUUGGGUUAGGGUUACAGUAUUUACCUGAUUGCUGCUCGUAGUCACUUUACCAUAGGGUCAGGGUUACAGUAUUUACCUGAUUGCUGCUCGUAGUCACUUUACCAUAGGGUUAGGGUUACAGUAUUUACCUGAUUGCUGCUCGUAGUCACUUUACCAUAGGGUUAGGGUUACAGUAUUUACCUGAUUGCUGCUCGUAGUCACUUUACCAUAGGGUUAGGGUUACAGUAUUUACCUGAUUGCUGCUCGUAGUCACUUUACCAUAGGGUUAGGGUUACAGUAUUUACCUGAUUGCUGCUCGUAGUCACUUUACCAUAGGGUUAGGGUUACAGUAUUUACCUGAUUGCUGCUCGUAGUCACUUUACCAUAGGGUUAGGGUUACAGUAUUUACCUGAUUGCUGCUCGUAGUCACUUUACCAUAGGGUUAGGGUUACAGUAUUUACCUGAUUGCUGCUCGUAGUCACUUUACCAUAGGGUUAGGGUUACAGUAUUUACCUGAUUGCUGCUCGUAGUCACUUUACCAUAGGGUUAGGGUUACAGUAUUUACCUGAUUGCUGCAUCCAUGGUUUGCUCCCAGUCUUGCAUCCUUAAAAACAACUUCAUCUUCUUAAUGAGUGCAGGCAGGAAGUCUGGGAAACUGGCAAUUACUCUGUUAACCACAUCUAAUGCUCCAGAGUAAUUUUGACAGUACUCGCAGUACUGUGCCUGCAAGAGUCACAUGACACUCAAAAACAAUGAUUUCAAUGUGUAAAAAGUUGUAGUCUCAAAUGCGACAAGGAAAUAAUACCAAGGUAGACAGACACUCGUAUGACUAAUCUCAGGAAUCAAAAUGAGCACAAGAAAUAUUCUCACCUUUCCCAUUAACGCAAAAACAUCUUUUAGUCCUUCAUCAAAGUAUUUUUCAGCCUUUCUGGCAUGAUCAUCUUUCCCGCAUGUCACGUCUAUCCAUGCUUUCAGGAUGACCCCCUGAACAAGUCAGCCAGGCACUUUUACACACAUCCCAACCUCCUCACUAACUUUGACGUCUCACCUCUUGAGAGCCAUUGGUCAGUUUGAUCAUCCGCUCUGUGUAUUCUCGAGCUUUAUCAUUCCGGCCUAACAUCCAAAGAAACAUCCCGGCGUGAUACAGGCUCUGGGGAGAUGCACUUUUGCGAUCCUCCCUGAUUUUAGCUUCAAGUUCAUGAAUAACAUCUUUGUCUGUGAAUCCAAAGAUAACCAUUAGAAAAUCAUCCCCAUUCAAAAUGACGCCGUCGGCCAACCUGGUUUGAUCUUUUUUCUCUCAGCAUAGAUAAGUGCCAUCAUAGUGCAGAGGGACACCUCGGCUCUAUCUUUUAUUGAGUUCAGCUCUGCCGUGGCUUCUCGAACUUGACCUGUGGAUGAAUGUUGAAAAGUACAGGUGAGUAUUGUUCCAUUUGACUCUCUGCUUGCAGCUUACCUUGCAUCAAGAUGCCAUAUGCAUGGAAGACACUGAAGAUAGGGUCACUACGAAAAGUCUUCUGUGCAGCUGCUGCAGUGUUCACAACAUUGUUGAAAUAGUUUUCAUUGCAGUAGUAUCUGAUCAAAGCCUAGGAACAAAAACACAUCCGUGAAUAAAAUAGCCAAACACUGUUAUGGGCCAUGACAGAUAAAUCUUUCAACUUAUUUCAAGUAUAUUUUAGCGGCCCCAACUUAUAUUCAUAGUUUGUUGCCCAAAAUCUAGACUUGAUACUUGAAUUCAGACAGUUUAAACGUAAUUUAAGUUAUCCAUACUGUUGACAUUUUGUGUGUCUGGAACUUAAUGUUAUUGAGCUGUUUGGCUUGUGCGUGGCUCACAAGUAGCGUCAUUUUGCACUUAAUCCACUUUUGACAUUUCCACUGUAACUCUGUACUUUGUGCAAUAAAAUAGCUGACAUAGAUCAGAAAUUUGCAACAACAAAUAGACUGUGUUUACACUGCAGGCCAAAGUGCACAAAAUGUUUUGUUUUUUUAUAAAAUCCCAUUUUUUCCAGCUGACU